rnacentral:lncRNA from 1 species
UGCAGAGCUCAGAGCAUGACUGAGCAGAUCUCCCUUAGGUUCUCUGCAUGGUAUCAUGCCUGUCCCUGCUGGACCUGCCAGUAUAUCUGCAUCUGACCAAGCCUGGAUGCCCAGCCUUGAGCGCAGUCAGGAUGGGAAGAUGUGCCUGGGCUUCCACAGUGCCUCUGUGAAAGAAAAACUGAGACAAAAAAGAAAAACUGAGACGUUUCCUCCAAGACGUUCCUGCUCUCAGAAGGGGAAGGAGAGGAUGAUAACUCCCAUCUCCAGGUCUGUUUUUGAGACCAUUCUGAGAUUUGCAGUUUGUGAAGCAUAUGGAAGGACUUUGCAAAGUGCAGACAGUGGACGUGGGAACUCUUCAUCUUCCGGGUAGACCUGUGCUCCUUUAGAAGGAACGUCAAGAGGAUGGCAAACCACUGGUACAAAGACCCUCAUUCUCUCAAAUAUCGACAUGGGCUCAAUUUACAAGCGGAUUAAAACGUUAAGAGAAAAUAAAGAGGAAUAUAAUUAUUAACUGUGUGCCA